AGAGCAGGUCGGGCGGUCGCUGCUUCGUGCUUUUCAGUAUUUCAGAUCACAAAUCUGAAAUUUGAAAUCAGGACGAAGGAGAGGAAAGUCCGAACACCAAAGGGCAGCGAGCCCGCUAACGGCGGGGCGGACGAUGGCAAUCUCAAAUCCGAGAUCUCGUUUUGAGACUGCUACGGCCGACGACAAGUGCAACAGAAAACAGACCAGCCUUCGCUUCAUUUCAGAUCUCAAAUUUGAGAUCUAAGAUCCGAGGCGGGGUGAUGGGUGAAAUGGUGCGGCCCGCAAGGGCUUAAUGUAAGAGCGCACCGGCGCGGGUGGCGACAUCCGCGGCCAGGCAAACUCCUCGCGGUGCAAGACCAAAUAGGGAAGCGUUAUCAGGGCUGCCCGCUCGAAGCUUCCGGGUAGGUCGCUUGAUCCAAUCGGCAACGGUUGGGCUAGAGGAAUGAUCGCCACUUCGAUUUCAGAGUUUGAGAUUUCAAAUCUGAAAUCGAAGCACAGAAUUCGGCUUACAGGCUUGCUCUCAAU
rnacentral:RNase_P_RNA from 1 species